rnacentral:tRNA from 1 species
GGGAUUGUGGCUCAGUGGUAGAGUGCUUGCCUAGCAUGUAUGAGGCCCUGGGUUCAAUUCUCAGCACCA